GUUUGGCCGGGGUAGGCUACCAUUGUAAAUAAGAAUUUGUUGUUAACUGGCUUGCCUAGUUAAAGGUAAAAUAAAAACAUUUUUUUUAAAGUAGGGAGAUAGAGAUACCACUAGAUGGGGGGGUGGGGUAUUGAACAAUAAGAGGCAAUAUACCACUUAUAGAAAACUCUUCAAAACAAUUCUUCACUCAUGCCUAACGGGUGGAGAGUUUUUAAAUAGAACAUCCACCUCAUCGCAUUCCGUCUAGAGAAGACUUAGUUCAAGAUCACCACCCCUAAGUCAACAUUUUAUCUGCUGUAUAUCACAUCUCUAUUUUGCAUUCAAGUCUCCGUUUUGGAUUUCUUCAUUUUUUUCUUGACAGUGUGCAGUUCUCCAUCUCUUACAAUAGAGAAUUUGCCAUCCACUGAAAUGAUUGGACAGACAAUGUCUGUCAAUACUUGAAUACUAUAAAACAGUUGAGCACAAUACUUAUUCAAAUUCAUUUUCAGUACAUGACAUCCAAAUGCUCAACUCAAGUUUGCAGAUAAAGUGUAUUUUUUUCCCUUAUUCAGAUAGCAUUUGCUCACGACUCCAGAGUCCUCCAGUGUUUAAUCCGGUUUGGAAACGACAAGCAAAGACAACGUUUUUGAUGAACUCCAAGGCCAGAAGUUUGUUCUGUUGUUGUUCUGAGUCAUUUUUUAAAUGUUAUUUAACUAGGCAAGUCAGCAAUGAGUCGGUUGUUUUUCUCAUGCCAAUCACAAUGCUCUGUAUCUCAAUAAUGGUAUCCUGUUCCGUAGAUUAUAUAGUCGAGCUGAGUAAAUCAAGUAUGCCAGAAAUAUUGUAAAGAAGUUGUUAAUGUAUGGGUAAGUGAGCCUUUUGCCACCUCAAAUGUUGCAUAUACAUAAAGUCGUAGCACUAGCAAUACAUGUACUAUUUUAAUAUCAUCCGAUCUUAUGCUGAUAUUAGCAUUAGACCCUGGCAGGAAAGCAGGCCAAAAUAGUCAAAACAAAAUAAGGGUAAUCUUGUUGAUCAAAUCAUUUUAAAUCUGUACAUGAUUCAACAGUAGACCUUCGUGAUCGCAUUUCAAAUUAAUAAUGCCAUGCAGCUUGAUCUAGUCUGUGGUUGAAUUCCCUGAUCAUUUGCUUAGACAUUCACAUGGGGAAUCAAGUCAAUAAUUCAAACUCCACUCAUUGUAACCUUCACUGUAAUCCUGACCUUGGCUGAAGAUACCAGCUGUUUUGACUAUAAUCUGAUUCAUGGUUCAGAUAUUAAAAAGGAUGGGGACAUGCUAUCCCAGUAUGAAGACAUAUCUUGUUGGAUGAAUAUAAAGGUCCUCAUUUGAUUGAGUCUCUACUCACAACUAGUUUAUCUGGCAUGCAGUGAGGUUUACAGAUGAAAUAAGUAAUCCAGGUUUCUGAAUGGAAAAUCUGACGUCUGGUAUGUGCAUCGUGUCCCACAGGAGCAAAGAGCAGGUUGCAGGUGUGAUGGUGGGCUUCAAGGGAAAAGUGAGACAGAUGCUGUGUCACUGAUGCGUUGUCGGUGGUGGAGUACGCUUACAACGAAAAGGCUAUCCUCAGACUCAUAGAGGAACUCUACGGAACCACGUUCCAAGUCUUCAAGUAGGCAGUGUGCCCCACACUAGAGGUGCUGGAGGCUAACCCAGACAAGAGAGGCUGUGAUUAAACAUUCUCUAGUGCACAAAGUUUUUCUGGACUUUACCCUGCAUGCACCAGUCAAACAAAGGACUGAAAUUAUUGGGUCGAUAAGGGAGUCCGUUGUAUAUGGCCCACACCCACGAUGGAGCUAAAGUCGUAAUGCACUGCCUGUGGCAUG